AUUGAACGCUGGCGGCAGGCUUAACACAUGCAAGUCGAGCGGUAGCAGGCCUUCGGGUGCUGACGAGCGGCGAACGGGUGAGUAACGCGUAGGAAUCUGCCUGGUAGAGGGGGAUAGCCCGGAGAAACUCGGAUUAAUACCGCAUACGCCCUACGGGGGAAAGCAGGGGAUCUUCGGACCUUGCGCUAUCAGAUGAGCCUGCGUCGGAUUAGCUAGUUGGUAGGGUAAAGGCCUACCAAGGCGACGAUCCGUAACUGGUCUGAGAGGAUGAUCAGUCACACUGGAACUGAGACACGGUCCAGACUCCUACGGGAGGCAGCAGUGGGGAAUAUUGGACAAUGGGGGAAACCCUGAUCCAGCCAUGCCGCGUGUGUGAAGAAGGCCUUCGGGUUGUAAAGCACUUUAAGCAGGGAGGAAAGGGUAGUGGCUAAUAUCCAUUAUCAUUGACGUUACCUGCAGAAUAAGCACCGGCUAACUUCGUGCCAGCAGCCGCGGUAACAC
rnacentral:rRNA from 1 species